UUCUACCUCUCCAGUUCCUCAGGCUCAACCAAAUGCCUCUGCCAGGAGAAUCUUUCAGAGUGUCCUGGAACAUUGGAAAUAGGCUUAAAGCUUAAAUGAUGAAUCAGAAGAGUUAUGCUGUAUUCUAAUGCUGCCACUAGGGCCACACAGGGUGCCAACAUCCAAUCUCAAGAUCUUCGGGAAAUAUGCUCACCCUCCAAAAUACUUACAGAUGUGUCUCCUCUUUUUUGUAAAAUAAAUGCUCUUCUUAUAUUUGGUGUUUCCUUGGUAUGGCCACAAGAUUAUUUAGUAUGACAUAUUUAAUGGUGAAGAUAAAGGGUCUUUAAUGGCUUCAGAAGUGCCCUGGGCUGAAACUUGAUCUGAGAAGGUUAUUAUCAGAACUGUGUUCCAAGAGAAAGCAGUGUGCUAGCUCUACAUGUAUACAUGAGUUGCCAUCAACAUGAAUUCAAUUACAAUGAAGAUAAUUUGGAGUAGACAAUUGUAUUUUGGUUGCAUGACAU
rnacentral:lncRNA from 1 species